ensembl:lncRNA
CAUCGGAGCAUGACGGGUGACUCAGACCGAGGGCUACAGGAAGGCAGACCCUCCUAGGAGGGCCAGUGACGACACUUCCCUGCUGGGCACACACCUGACCCUCUACUGAGACCCCCCGCCCCCAGGCUGGCCCUGUGUGGGUGGUGCAGCGGGCACUGCCAGGGAGGAAGCAUGUGGCCGGGAGGGGCAGGGCCAGGGGAACGGGUCCCAGAGGAACAUCACUUCCUUUCAGGGCCCCUGAGAGUUGAGAGCCCCGGGCAGCCCUGAACAAUGGCCCGAGGCGUGGGUGCCCAGCACGGUGCCCAGUGCCACAUCCUGCCAUUCUUCUCCCAGGCCGCACCCUGCCACCCUUCCUGGCUACGCCCGAUCCUAUCUCUGCUGUUUACUCAGAGCUGGGAGCUGGGCUGGCCACAGGCUUGAAACAAAGCUUUCCUGCGAGCCUCUCUCCCUCUCUUCAGCCUCUGUGGGCCCUGGGGGUGAACAGGUCCAUGGUGUGGCCCUGUCUAGCCCAGACCAGGUGGAGACAAUGGCUAACACCCCCCCGUCCCUGGGCUGUUUCCAGGCUGGCCAAGGUCAUUCACCCUCCAGACACUUCUGAUGGGCCAGGGCCGUUCUGCUCCUAUGACAGAAGGCAGGGAAAGGGCCCUGACAAUCAGCAGGAAGAUCAAGGUAGGAGAAGGGCCUCACCUGCUUCCUCUUUUUCUUNNNNUUUUUUUUUUUUCACUGAAGUAUAGUUGAUUUGCAAUGUUGUGUUAGUUCCAGGUGUUCAGCAACGUGAUUCAGUUACACACUUUUUCAGAUUCUUUUUCAGAUUCUUUUCCCUUAUAGCUCAUUACAAAAUACUGAGUAGAGCUCUCUGUGGUAUACAAUAGGUUCUUACUGGCUUUAUUUUAUAUAUAGUUGAGUGUAUCCAUUAAUCCCAACCUCCUAAUCUAUAAACCCUCCCCUCUUCUGCUUCCUCUUGACAGGACAAGCACGUAGCAGAAGUACAGGCUGGAGGCUGUGACAGAGACCCAGAAAUGUGGGCCCGGGCCUAGCUGCUUCUGCAAUGCGGAGCACAUGCCUUAGUGCUUCCUGGGGCCUGACUUCCCCUUAAAAAGAUGGAGAAUCACAGUGAGAUGCCACGUCACACCCAUUAUGAUGGCUACUAUUUAAAAAAAAAGAAACAAGAAGUGUUGGCAAGGAUGCAGACAAUUGCUGGUGGGAAUGUAAAAUUUAAAGCUGCUAUGGAAAACAGUAUGGUGGUUUCUUAAGAGCUGAAGCACAGAAUAACCAUAUGAUCCAGCAAUUCUCCUUCUGGGUGUACAACCAAAGGGUGUGAGGCAGGGCCAUGGAGGGACGCUGCUCACCCGUGCUUGUACAACACUAUUUACAGCAGCCGAAAGGUGGAAACAACCCAAGUGUCUGUGGAAGAGUGAAUGCAUAAAAUAAAACGUGCUACAGAUGAGAACAGAAUAACAUCAUCCUUAAAAAGGAGAUCUGACAUAGGCUACAAUGCGGAGGAAACUUGAAAAUGUCAAAUGUAACCAGCCUAAGCGAAAUAACAAAAAGACUAAUACUUCUUGAUUCUGCUUGUACGAGGUACUUACAAUAGAUAAAUUUAUAGAGACAGAAAGUAAAAUAGAGGUUAUUAGGGGCUGGGGAGAGAGGCUAAGGGGGAGUUAUUAUUUAACAAGUACAGAGUUUUAGUUUGGGGGAGGCAAACUUCUGGAGAUGGACAAGCAGGGGCAGUUGGACAACGCAAACGUACU